AGAGGGGCCAGGAGCAGAGAGCCAGCAUGGGCUCCGCGGCCAGCGUGCUGAGAGCCCUCCUCCUUCUCCUCGAUGUUGGAGGAGCUCAAGUGUUAGCAACUGGCAAGUCUGCUGGGGCCGAAAUUGAUAUCAAGUACGCCAUCAUCGGGUUGGCUGUGGGCCUUGCCAUCUCGGCGGGCUUCCUGGCCCUGAAGAUCUGCAUGAUCAAGAAGCACUUGUUUGAUAAUGACUCCUCGGAUCUGAGAAACUCAAACCUGGGCUUCAAUGAUACCAUCACAGUAAAGAAGAGAGUCCCAAGGUCACACCUCAAUGUCUCCGAAAGGGUCCGGUGAUACAGCCGGAGGAACAGCUGCUCUGUCGGAGAAUACCUUCCUCCAUGGAGUGGCUCACAGUGUCACUUCCUCAGCUGAAGGUGACCAGGAGUAGGAAGAAGCUGCAUUCCUGGUUUUCCCAUCUCCCGUAGACAUCACACUCAAGGGCAAAUGCUGCAUAUAUACAGCUUCUUUGGAUCCUCUUCCUAACCACACCAGAAGGGGCCCUUUGAACUCAGGACUUGUUCAUGGGUGAUGAACAGGAACGGAUGAACUUUCUGUUGAACCUGUGGACCUUUAGACCAUCCAACUUAAACUCUGUUUCUUUGGACCCAUCAUAUUAUAAAGGAGAAACAUGAGACUCUGACAGCCUUUAGACUCUCUCGGAAUCCCAUCAAACUUCUCUAUCACCAUCCUUGCUUGGUUCCAAUUUGGGUGUCUUCCAUGCUGUCUGCCAUCAGGCUCUGUAACCCUGACCUCAACCUGUGUCCUUCGUCCUCCACACACGGGAUGGUUCUUUUCUUUUCCAGAGAUGCACAAGUGAUUGAGCUCUAAAUGAGUGGCCUCUUCAAGAGAGGUUGGGAGGCCUGGACAGCUGCCCACAGUUUCAGUCUCAUAAAUGUCUUGGGUUUGAGUUUCCAAAGCCAGUGGUGGACCUUCAUAUGGAACUCAAUACCCAGGGCAAGUAAUAGAUCUACUGUAUUUCUGUCCUGAAGGAAAAUAUCAAUUCUCUUCCACAAGAAGCUGACUGCAUAGAGUGAGGCACAAGUACUUUAUCCAGCAGUAAGAAAGAUGGAAGCCAAUAAAUAUAUACCGCCUAUCCUGGUUCUACAUGGUGGAGCUCUUCAUGCUUCUAUGAUAGCGUUGUAUCCAUACUGAUGGAACCUAUCCAUAGCAAAUGGCUUAUGGAAAUGGGACACAGUCUCCUUAGCACCGCCGUCUAUCUACAGGGAAGCAUCAUUUUCUAGAACUGUUGGCCUCAACUUCUCAGUUGCCACGAGUCCCUCUGCAAAAAUUCAGGGGUCUUGAAACAUAAAGACCAUGGGGCCAUCUCUAGUCUUAUAAAUGAAAGACUGACCUUCCACAGGAAGAAAUGAAGGACUGGGCUGGAAAGGAAGGGGUCUCAGUGACCAUGGGAUGGCCUGCAGCUCUGCAGCCCUUUGAAUGAUGGAACCAACAAAGGAUUAAAUGAAAAGCCGAUGGUGUGCCUUAUAGAGAGCUACACAACGUAAUGGAUUAUUAUUAUGUUUAUAGCAUUAUUUUGUGGUUAUUACUACAAACGUUAAUGGCUUUUGCAUGCAGGACAUGACUGGCAGAGGCUUAAGAAACCCUCAUCUUUUUAUUAUUGCCAUGAACCCAAGGUUCUGUGACACAAGCCCCAUUCACAUUUCUCUCCCCGCUAAUAUUACCAUUGUGUUUCUAGGGCUGCACUGUGGAACACUCUUCAUCUUUCCAAUUCAACACAAAUCCGAGUGGUUGUGUUGACUGGUUCUCCUUGGAUUGGGUUACUCUCCUUGUGUGUGAUGAAAGAUGAGCAAUAUUUCAAAGCCAAGCUCUGCGUUGUAAUAAUUUGCCUGGAUUCCCAAGGUGUCUUUUAUCUGACUUGAUAACAACGCAGUUCAUUAGCAGCCUUUGUUAACUGAUAACCUAAAGCGGUAACAUGAUACUCAUAAGCAAUUUUCUGUGUGUAAGAUAGAAUAAACCAUCUUGUAAGGUAUCUGUUAA